CAGUAGCCACGGGAAUACGGAGGGGGCUAGCGUUGUUCGGAAUUACUGGGCGUAAAGCGCACGUAGGCGGCUUUGUAAGUUAGAGGUGAAAGCCCGGAGCUCAACUCCGGAAUUGCCUUUAAGACUGCAGAGCUAGCAGGUGAGAGAGGUGAGUGGAAUUCCGAGUGUAGAGGUGAAAUUCGUAGAUAUUCGGAAGAACACCAGUGGCGAAGGCGGCUCACUGGCUCAUACUGGACGCUGAGGUGCGAAAGCGUGGGGAGCAAACAGGAUUAGAUACCCGGGUAGUCCCUGUCUCUUAUAC
rnacentral:rRNA from 1 species